rnacentral:lncRNA from 1 species
UUUUUUCUCAUUUCGUUGAUUUCAGAGCAAUAAAAUUUCCCAUGGUGGGGGAAGUUUUACUUAAAACCAAUUACUAGUUCAAUCUACCAGGAAGAAAGCCUAAGGCCUUUCAAUGCUGCACUAUAUUUUUUUUAAUUAAAAAUAUCUUCUCUCUCAUUGGUAUAAGCAAAAUUUUCAAGUGCUAGCGCCACAGUUAUAGCUAUGAAAUCUUUAAUCUUCAUUUUAUCAAAAUUAUAUUGCCUCUGAGGAAUUUUCAGCCCUUGUGUGAUUUCAGGUUUCCCCAGAUGUGUUUAUAAAGAUAAUGAUUAUAUUUAACAACUACAGCUAUUAAGAUACAGUAACACAGCAAAAAGUUGCCCAUUUUAAAUGGAGAAAAAGAAAUUAAGGCAGUAUUUCUUUUUCACUGCUUUGAACAACUUCAUUCUGCUCAGGAUCCCAGCUCAGAACCAACGUAGAAUAAUCGUAGUUAACAUUUUUCAAGUUCAUUUUCAGAAACAUCAGUUGUUCUAUAUUGUCAAAGUCCAGGCUCAUGAUCUGUUUUGGAUGAAAGUGGCUAUUUUUAGUAAAGAUACAUUCAGAUUGCCAACUACACAUGGGGCAACUUAGAUACUGGAUGGCAACCUGGGUCAAAGCCGGCCAUAUGCUUAUCUUCCUCUGCCAGUAAAUUAAAG